rnacentral:piRNA from 1 species
CUGCUGCUGUGGAUGUAUGUUUG